rfam:Cajanus cajan CcLG10_100, whole genome shotgun sequence.
GUAUCUGCGGCUGCAGCAGCAUCAAGAUUCACACUUCCUAAUUAGCCAACACUUCAUGAGUUCAAACUCUUACACAUGUAUAUGUUGGUUCUCUUUGGUGUAUGAAGUUCCAAUAGAAGUGGGAAUCUUGAUGAUGCUGCAUCAGCAAAUAC